rnacentral:rRNA from 1 species
UAACAGGUUGAGAUUCCUGUACUGGUUUGAUUUGUUUGAACGAUGGAGGGACGCAGGAGGCUAGAGAUGCGUGCUGUUGGAUAUGCACGUCCAAGCAACAAGUCUGAUGAUGAGUCAAAUGCUUAUCGUCUUAAGGACAAGUUGUGACGGGGAGCGAAAUUAAAGUAGCGAAGUGAUCGAUGUCACACUGCCGAGAAAAGCUUCUAGUUAGGAUCAGACCACCCGUACCGCAAACCGACACAGGUAGUCGAGGCGAGUAGCCUAAGGUGAGCGAGAGAACUCUCGUUAAGGAACUCGGCAAAAUGACCCCGUAACUUCGGGAGAAGGGGUGCUGCACAAUGUGCAGCCGCAGUGAAUAGGCCCAGGCGACUGUUUAUCAAAAACACAGGUUUCUGCAAAAUCGUAAGAUGAAGUAUAGGGGCUGACGCCUGCCCGGUGCUGGAAGGUUAAGAGGAUGGGUUAGCG